UAAGGAAGGCAGCAGGCGCGCAAAUUACCCAACCCUGACACAGGGAGGUAGUGACAAAAUAUAACAAUGCCGGGCCUUUUCAGGUCUGGCAAUUGGAAUGAGUACAAUUUAAAUACCUUAACGAGGAUCCACUGGAGGGCAAGUCUGGUGCCAGCAGCCGCGGUAAUUCCAGCUCCAGUAGCGUAUAUUAAAGUUGUUGCAGUUAAAAAGCUCGUAGUUGGAUUUCUGGCGUGGUGCGCCCGGCCCGCCGCCGCUAAGGCGGCGAGUGCCGGCGCGCGCCUGCCAUCCUUCCGGAGAGCGUGCCUGCCCUUCACUGGGUUGGGCACGCGAUCUGGAUCGUUUACUUUGAAAAAAUUAGAGUGUUUAAAGCAGGCUUACGCUUCUGAAUACAUUAGCAUGGAAUAAUAAGAUAGGACUUUGGUUCUAUUUUGUUGGUUUCUAGGACUAAAGUAAUGAUUGAUAGGGACAGUUGGGGGUGCUAGUAUUUAACGGCCAGAGGUGAAAUUCUUGGAUUCGUUAAAGACUAACUAAUGCGAAAGCAUUCACCAAGGAUGUCUUCUUUAAUC
rnacentral:rRNA from 1 species